AUGUUUUUUAUGCAGGAUAAAUCAACUUCCAAGGACAAAUCCAAGCUCGCAGGAAGAGGUUUGCCACAGUUGGCUACGGUGAGUACAAAGCCCCAGUGGCAGCGAGCAGCUCCAUCAUUCCAUCUGAAUAUAAAGCAGGAUGAUGAGAUUCCAGAGCCUUAUACUAUUAAAAACGAACAGUCCUAUGCUGAAUACGUGGAACACUUUGGAAAGAAAGGCAAAAUCUUGCACCAAGUUGAUGAUGCUGAACCAUCUACCUCCAAGUCAAAGGCCAAGUCUCCUCACAGGGAACGAGAAAACUUUAGAAGUGCUCUUGUUAACGUCAUCCUGCAACAAGAGAUUGGUUUAGAAUCACCUAUCUUUGAAGAAAGCACAGUUCCAAGAAAGACCACUUCGGCAAUAGAAAAAGACAUCUUGAGGCAUUACUAUUAUAUUCAUCAUGGAAUUGAUACAGACCAUGUAGCCCCAAUGGAAGACUCUUGGCUAAAACAUGUACUGGAUCUAGUCCCACAGCAUCUGAAAGUCCUCACAGACAGCAUAACUGUGUUAUCAGAUGAAAUGCGAGAAGAUUAUCUACUGAGUGUAAAAAAGUCAAUAGUUGAUUUUGUUCUAAAAGACCCCAGAGAAAAGGAGGACGACAAAAAGCCAAUCGACCUUCUGCCCCACCGUGCUGAAAUGGAAGUUUUGCCAAAACCUUGGAGGAAGUCAUUCUUAGCUGCGACUACUUACAUCAGAGACCACCUGAAUUCAAUGAACUCCACGAUGCUGGCUGUGCUGGAUUUGUGGCACAGUACAUAUAAAAAAUUACGUUUAGUGGAUACAGAAGAAUUCCACAAUCGCCAGGAUGCACUAGAGCUAUCAAGCUUCCAGAACAUUAUCAUGAAACACAUGGAAAAUGCUAAAGAGAUUCUGCUUAAAAUGUGGUUUCCAGAAGUGCAGAAUAUUUAUUACCAAGGUAAUAAAAAAAAGCAGUUGCCGGCCAGUGACAACAGUGCCAAAUUGGAGUCUUUUUUCAACUGUGCCGCUACGCUAAUGACUUUACAGCUGCAGGACCUCGCUUUAGUCUCCAUGCAGGAUUUCACCGACCUGAUUGCACAACCCCCCGAUUCUAUCAGAGCUUUCGAACACCCUGGUUUCAUCAUGAGGCUGAUUCUUGAUCACGACACCAUUAAGUUCGAACCUGAAUUUGAAGAGUAUAUCGAUAUCCUCGUAAACGUUUACGAUGUCAUGGUUAAGGUUGUCAGUUUUGUGCCAAGAGUGGAGACAAAAUUGUACUCCAAAUGGGAAAGUAAGUCUAAGCCAACCACUUUGAAGCCCAUAAUUCUGGACGAAAUCAUAGAAGCUCACAAAAACAAGAUUAAGGAGGUGGUAGAGAGGGAGAGCGUGGCCCCGCUGGAGCACCUUCAUCUCUACGACAAAUACGACUUUCUAAUUUCCAAGAAAGCUGAGCUCGACACUGAUGUGUUUCUUGAGGAAAAUCACCAUUAUGAGAGAGUAAUAGAGGAGAUUCGUAAAUAUCAACAACUAAUAGAGGACAUACAGUACACGUCUAGAAAGAGUGUCCGCCUCGGGAUGUUUGAGAUGCACUGUGAAGAAUUAAUCAGAGCGCUGGUGAAACGAGCAGACACUAUUUGUGGGAGACUGAUAGCCAAGAUGUACAAAGACCACCAGGAACUGAACACAAGGCUAUGUGAAGAAUUUGAGAAGAUAGCUGAAAAAGCUCUCAGCACCCCUCCAAACACAGCAGAGCUGAUGGAGAUGAAGGCUUACAUUCAGAAAGUGGAGGCAACUGAUAUGGUUGAGCUGGGGCAGAGACUAGUGGACUCCAAAAACUGCCUCGCCUUCCUCAUUGAGUGCAGCACCUUUUCUCCGGCAGAUAUCAGGCUGAACAACAGUGUCUUCCAGUGGUAUGGAAGAAUGGGAGAGAUCUUUGAAGAACACAGGAAAAUCAUUAAAGAGAAAACAGAACAGUAUCAAGACGGUCUUAAGCUGCGGUGCGAGCGGUUUGUGGAGGAGCUGGAGAGCUAUGCCAAGCAGGCCGAGGAGUUCUACAGCUUCGGGGACCUGCAGGACAUGCAGCGCUACCUGAAGAAAGCGCAGGCGCUGAACACCAAGCUGGACGCGGCCGCAGACAAGAUCCUGCAAUUCAAUGCCGAAGAAGAGGCCUUUGGCUGGCUGCCCUCAAUAUAUCCUCAACGGAAAAAAAUCCAAGAUGGUUUGAAUCCGUACCUCCGUCUCUACGAAACGACCGUCGAGUUCAGCAACAAGUACAAAGCGUGGACAGAAGGGCCCUACCACAAGGUGAACCCUGACCAGGUAGAGGCGGAUGUGGGGAAUUACUGGAGAGGCCUCUAUAAGCUAGAGAAGAUCUUCCACGAUUCUCCAAACGCCUUGGCCAUGACCAAGAAAGUCAGAUCCAAGGUGGAGGACUUCAAGCAGUACAUCCCCCUGGUGCAGGUGAUCUGCAACCCCGGCCUGCGGCCCAGGCACUGGGAGGCCAUGUCCGCCAUCGUGGGCUACCCGCUGCAGCCCGCCGACGACUCCACUGUCUUCUCCUUCAUAGACCUGAAUCUCGAGCCGUACCUCGACAAGUUUGAGGGUAUCAGUGAAGCGGCCAGCAAGGAAUAUUCUCUUGAGAAGGCCAUGGAGAAGAUGAUCACCGAGUGGGACGGGAUGGAAUUUGUCAUUCUUCCUUACAGGGAGAGUGGGACGUACAUCCUGUCGGCAGUUGAUGAAAUUCAGAUGCUGUUGGAUGACCACAUUGUCAAAACACAGACGAUGCGGGGAUCUCCUUUCAUUAAGCCUUAUGAAAAACAAAUAAGGGAGUGGGAGGGCAAGCUGCUGCUGCUGCAGGAGAUCCUGGACGAGUGGCUCAAGGUCCAGGCCACGUGGCUGUACCUGGAGCCCAUCUUCAGCUCCCCCGACAUCAUGUCGCAGAUGCCCGAGGAAGGCCGGCGCUUCACGGCGGUGGACAAGACGUGGCGGGAUUUAAUGAAGAGCGUCCUGCAGAAUAAACAUGUUCUGGCAGUUGUAACUAUUGACAGAAUGCUGGAAAAGCUGAAAAAAAAUAAUGAACUUUUGGAACUCAUUCUUAAAGGACUGAACGAAUAUUUGGAGAAGAAACGUCUCUUCUUUCCCAGAUUCUUUUUCUUGUCAAACGAUGAACUGCUUGAGAUACUAUCUGAGACUAAAGACCCCACUCGGGUGCAGCCUCACUUGAAGAAAUGCUUUGAAGGAAUCGCAAAGGUGGAAUUCACAGAAACGCUGGACAUCACUCACAUGAAGAGCAGCGAAGGCGAGGUGGUGGAGCUCAUGGAGACCAUUUCCACCGCGAAAGCGCGAGGUCAGGUGGAGAAGUGGCUGGUGGAGCUGGAGAGAAUCAUGAUUAACUCCAUCCACAAGGUCAUCGGAAGUGCGAUUCUGGCCUAUAUGAAUAACGAGCGAAUUCACUGGGUGCGGGAGUGGCCCGGCCAGGCCGUUCUCUGUGUGUCCCAGACCUUUUGGACCAAGGAAGUGCAAACAGCCAUUCCGAUUGGGCUGCAGGCUCUUGAGCAAUACUUGGAAAAAUGUAACAAACAAAUUGAUGAUAUUGUCACUUUGGUCCGGGGCAAACUGUCUAAGCAGAAUCGCGUUACGCUGGGAGCCCUCGUGGUACUGGAUGUCCAUGCUAGAGAUGUUCUCGCAACACUGGUCCAAAAACGCAUCAGUCACGACUCUGACUUUGAAUGGUUAAGUCAGCUUAGGUACUAUUGGCAAGAGAAUCAGUUAGAAACAAAGAUGAUCAAUGCUGGUCUGCGAUAUGGGUAUGAAUAUCUGGGUAAUUCACCCAGGCUGGUUAUUACCCCACUCACUGAUCGAUGUUACAGAACCUUAUUCGGAGCCCUUCACCUGCACCUCGGAGGGGCGCCGGAGGGCCCGGCUGGCACCGGGAAGACAGAGACCACCAAGGACCUGGCGAAAGCAGUGGCCAAGCAGUGUGUUGUGUUCAACUGCUCGGAUGGCUUGGAUUACCUGGCUUUAGGAAAAUUUUUUAAGGGACUGUUAUCUUGUGGAGCCUGGGCUUGCUUUGAUGAGUUUAACAGAAUUGAUUUGGAAGUACUUUCUGUGGUUGCUCAACAAAUCCUUACUAUCCAAAGAGGCAUUAAUGCAGGUGCUGAUAUCCUAGUAUUUGAAGGAACUGAACUAAAACUGGACCCUACGUGUGCUGUCUUCAUCACAAUGAACCCUGGGUAUGCUGGGCGGUCGGAACUGCCAGAUAAUCUGAAGGCUCUCUUCCGGACGGUAGCCAUGAUGGUCCCCGACUAUGCCAUGAUUGCCGAAAUAGUCCUGUACUCCUGCGGGUUCGUCACUGCUCGGCCGCUGUCGGUGAAGAUUGUGGCCACCUACCGCUUGUGUUCAGAGCAGCUGUCGUCGCAGCAUCACUAUGACUACGGGAUGCGAGCCGUGAAGUCGGUGCUGACAGCCGCCGGGAACCUAAAGCUGAAAUAUCCAAAUGAAAAUGAAGAAAUUUUGCUACUUAGAUCUAUUAUUGAUGUAAAUCUGCCAAAAUUUUUAGCCCAUGAUUUACCACUCUUUGAGGGGAUUACUUCAGAUUUAUUUCCUGGGGUGAAAUUACCAAAACCAGAUUACAAUGAUUUGCUGGCUGCUAUCAAAGACAAUUGCGUGGCCAUGAAUUUGCAAAUGACCAAAUUCUUCUCCGAGAAGAUUCUCCAAAUAUAUGAAAUGAUGAUUGUGCGCCAUGGCUUCAUGAUUGUUGGAGAACCAUUUGGAGGGAAGACCAGCGCCUAUCGUGUCUUAGCCGGUGCGCUGAAUGAUAUCUGUGAGAAGGGACUAAUGGAAGAAAACAAGGUUCAGAUAACGGUUUUGAACCCCAAGUCUGUCACCAUGGGGCAGCUGUACGGACAGUUUGACUUAGUGUCCCACGAGUGGUCGGACGGGAUCCUCGCCGUCAGCUUCAGGGCCUUUGCUGCGUCCCCGACCCCAGAUAGGAAGUGGUUGAUUUUUGAUGGACCAGUGGAUGCAGUGUGGAUUGAGAACAUGAACACGGUGCUGGAUGACAACAAGAAGCUGUGUCUGAUGAGCGGGGAGAUUAUCCAGAUGUCACCACAGAUGAAUCUGAUUUUCGAGCCGAUGGACUUAGAAGUUGCUUCUCCCGCCACCGUGUCCAGGUGCGGAAUGAUUUACAUGGAGCCGCACAUGUUAGGCUGGAGGCCGCUGAUGUUGUCCUGGUUGAAUCUUUUACCUGCUUCAGUCAGCGCCAUUCAGAAGGAGUUUAUAACGGGCCUAUUUGACAGGAUGGUCCCUGUGUCUGUAGAAUUUAUUAGAAGGCACACGAAGGAAUUAUCUCCUACUACAGAUACGAACCUGGUCCGAUCCUUAAUGAAUCUAAUAGACUGUUUCAUGGAUAUUUUUGUGGAUGAAGCCAAAGUAAAAGAGAGAAAUGAUCGAGAAGUUUACUCUCUGCUUGAGGGCAUUUUUAUUUUCUCGUUGAUCUGGUCCGUUGGUGCUUCUUGUACAGAUGACGAUCGGAUGAAAUUUAAUAAGAUUCUCCGAGAACUCAUGGAAGGCCCGAUUUCAGACCUAACACGAAAUAGGUUCAAAUUACAGAGCGGAGCUGAGCAAGUGUCCUCUAAGGCCCUGACUGUCACAUUUCCUGAGAAAGGAACCAUUUAUGAUUAUCAAUUUAUCACCGAGGGAGUGGGAAGGUGGGAACCAUGGAUAAAGAAAUUGGAAGAUGCCCCUCCGAUCCCUAAAGAUGUGCUGUUUAAUGAAAUCAUCGUGCCGACCUUGGACACGGUCCGAUAUUCCGUGCUGAUGAAUUUGCUGACUACGCAUCAAAAGCCUUCCAUAUUUGUAGGCCCAACAGGAACCGGGAAGAGUUCUUACAUCACUAACUUUCUUUUAAAUCAACUCCAUAAGGACAUCUACAAACCUCUGAUCAUCAACUUCUCAGCACAAACAACAGCAGCUCAAACCCAGAAUAUUAUUAUGUCAAAACUAGACAAAAGAAGAAAGGGAGUUUUUGGUCCUCCUUUGGGCAAGAUAAUGGUUGUCUUUGUGGAUGACGUCAAUAUGCCUGCUCGGGAGGUCUAUGGGGCUCAGCCUCCCAUCGAGUUACUUAGGCAGUGGUUAGAUCACUGGAACUGGUACGACCUCAAAGACUGCUCCGUGAUUAAACUGGUGGACAUUCAGAUCAUGUGUGCUAUGGGUCCUCCAGGUGGUGGCCGGAAUCCAGUAACCCCUCGAUACAUGAGACAUUUCAAUAUUAUAACAAUCAAUGAAUUCAGUGACAAAUCCAUGUUUGCCAUCUUCUCUAGGAUCUUGAACUGGCAUUUAAAAAUCUGCUAUAAGUUUCCAGACGAGUUUCUAGAUUUGACCAAACAAAUUGUAAAUGGCACGAUGACUCUGUACAAAGACGCCAUGAAGAAUCUCUUGCCUACGCCCGCUAAGUCUCACUAUUUGUUCAACCUCCGGGAUUUCUCCCGUGUCAUUCAGGGAGUUUGUCUGUCCAGACCGGAGACGGCAGAAACCCAGGAAGUGAUGAAGCGUCUUUGGGUUCACGAGGUCCUUAGAGUUUACUACGAUCGCCUUCUGGAUAAUGCAGACAGAAGCUGGCUUAUCAACUACAUUCAAGAAAUUUUGAAAAGCCACAUGCAUGAAAAUUUCCAUGAGCUUUUUAAAAGUUUGGAUUUCGAUAAUGAUGGCGUGGUACAGGAGGAUGACUUAAGAAGCUUAAUGUUCUGUGAUUUCCACGAUCCCAAGCGGGAAGAUACCAACUACAGGGAAGUGGCCAACGUGGACGGUCUCCGGAUGAUAGUGGAAACUCACCUGGAAGAAUACAACAACAUGAGCAAAAAGCCCAUGAACCUCGUCUUAUUCCGGUUCGCCAUAGAACACAUCAGCAGAAUCUCCCGGAUCUUGAAGCAGCCCCGGAGCCAUGCCCUGCUGGUUGGGGUCGGGGGCAGCGGGAGGCAGUCUGUCACCCGGCUCGCUGCCCACAUGUGUGAUUAUUCUGUUUUCCAUGUUGAGAUCUCCAAGGGCUACGGGAACAAUGAGUGGCGCGAAGAUUUAAAAGUGAUCUUAAGAAAAUGUGCCGAAGGAGACAUGCAGGGUGUCUUCCUAUUUACAGAUACUCAGAUUAAAAAAGAGACAUUUCUAGAAGAUGUCAAUAAUCUGCUGAAUGCUGGGGAGGUUCCGAAUCUCUUUGCAUUAGAUGAGAAGCAAGAGAUCUGUGAAAAGAUGCGUCAGUUAGAUCGCCAACGGGAUAAAACCAAACAGACGGACGGCAGCCCCGUAGCUCUUUUCAACAUGUUCAUUGAUCGUUGCCGCAACCAGCUGCACGUGGUGCUGGCUAUGAGUCCCAUCGGAGAUGCAUUUCGGAAUCGUCUUAGGAAGUUCCCUGCUCUUGUCAACUGCUGUACCAUUGACUGGUUUCAGUCAUGGCCUGAAGAUGCCUUACAGGCGGUUGCCUCCCGCUUCUUGGAAGACAUUGAAAUGUCAGUGGAGAUACGGAAUGGCUGUAUCGACAUGUGUAAGAGCUUCCACACCUCCACUAUCGAUUUAUCCACAUCCUUCUAUAAUGAACUGCAGAGAUACAAUUACGUGACUCCCACCUCUUACCUGGAGUUGAUCUCCACCUUCAAGCUGCUGUUAGAGAAGAAAAGAAGUGAGGUGAUGAAGAUGAAAAGGAGGUAUGAGGUGGGCUUGGACAAGCUGGACUCCGCAUCCUCUCAGGUGGCCACCAUGCAGACGGAGCUGGAGGCCCUGCAGCCCCAGUUACGUGUGGCCAGCAAGGAGGUGGACGAGAUGAUGUUGAUCAUCGAGAAGGAGUCUAUCGAAGUCGCCAAAACGGAAAAAGUGGUGAAAGCUGACGAAAUCGUGGCCAACGAUCAGGCCAUGGCCGCCAAGGCCAUCAAGGACGAGUGUGACGCGGACCUGGCCGGAGCCCUGCCCAUCCUGGAGUCGGCGCUGUCCGCCCUGGACACCCUGACCGCGCAGGAUAUCACUGUGGUGAAGUCCAUGAAGAGCCCGCCUGCGGGCGUCAAGCUCGUCAUGGAAGCGAUCUGCAUCUUGAAAGGCAUCAAAGCAGACAAAAUCCCUGACCCGACAGGUUCAGGGAAGAAAAUCGAGGAUUUCUGGGGUCCAGCUAAGAGACUGCUGGGGGACAUCCGGUUCCUACAGUCCCUGCAUGAGUAUGACAAGGACAACAUUCCUCCAGCGUACAUGAACAUCAUCAGGAAGAGUUACAUCCCCAACCCUGAUUUCGUCCCGGAAAAGAUCAGAAACGCUUCCACGGCUGCAGAAGGGCUGUGCAAGUGGGUGAUCGCGAUGGACUCGUACGAUAAAGUGGCAAAAAUUGUCGCUCCCAAAAAGAUCAAACUGGCCUCUGCCGAAGCGGAGCUGAAAGUGGCCAUGGACGGGCUCCGGAAGAAGCAGGCGGCGCUGCAGGCUGUGCAGGACAAGCUGGCCCGGCUGCAGGACACGCUCGAGCUGAACAAACAGAAGAAGGCUGACCUGGAAAACCAGGUUGACUUGUGCAGCAAGAAGCUGGAACGGGCGGAGCAGCUGAUCGGAGGCCUGGGCGGAGAGAAGACCCGCUGGAGCCACUCAGCCCUGGAGCUGGGGCAGCUCUACAUCAACCUGACGGGCGACAUCCUCAUCUCCUCGGGAGUGGUGGCCUACCUGGGCGCCUUCACGUCCAACUACAGACAGAACCAAACCAAGGAGUGGACAAAUUUGUGCAAAGAACGAGAUAUACCCUGCUCCGAUGAGUACUCACUGAUGGGCACCCUGGGGGAGGCGGUGACGAUUCGAGCCUGGAACAUUGCCGGAUUACCUUCCGACUCGUUUUCCAUCGACAACGGGAUCAUCAUCGUGAACGCGAGGAGAUGGCCUCUGAUGAUAGAUCCUCAAGGCCAGGCUAACAAAUGGAUCAAGAACAUGGAAAAAACCAACAGCCUUCAGCUCAUUAAAUUAAGCGAUCCCGACUACGUCAGGACCCUGGAAAACUGCAUCCAGUUUGGCACUCCGGUGUUGCUAGAGAAUGUUGGAGAAGAGCUGGAUCCCAUCUUGGAGCCUCUUCUCCUGAAGCAGACCUUCAAGCAGGGCGGGAGUCUGUGCAUCCGCCUGGGGGAUACCAUCAUUGAGUACGCGCCCGACUUCCGCUUCUACAUCACCACGAAGCUGAGAAACCCUCACUACCUUCCCGAAACCUCCGUCAAGGUAACAUUAUUAAACUUCAUGAUCACCCCGGAGGGCAUGCAAGACCAGCUGCUGGGCAUCGUGGUGGCGAGAGAGAGGCCAGACCUUGAGGAAGAAAAGCAAGCGCUGAUACUGCAGGGAGCCGAAAACAAAAGGCAGUUAAAAGAAAUAGAAGACAAGAUUUUAGAAGUUCUUUCAUCUUCAGAAGGCAAUAUAUUAGAGGAUGAAACUGCUAUUAAGAUAUUAUCUUCCUCCAAGGCUUUGGCUAAUGAGAUUUCUCAGAAGCAGGAGGUAGCUGAAGACACGGAGAAAAAGAUCGACAACACCCGCAUGGGCUACCGCCCUAUCGCCGUCCACUCCUCCAUCCUCUUCUUCUCCAUUGCUGACUUAGCCAACAUUGAGCCCAUGUACCAGUAUUCACUCCUCUGGUUUAUUAACCUUUUCAUCCUGUCUAUUGAGAAUUCAGAGAAAUCCGAACACUUAGCAGUAAGGCUUCAGAUUCUCCGGGACCAUUUUACUUACUCUCUGUACGUGAAUGUCUGUCGGUCACUCUUUGAAAAGGACAAGCUACUCUUCUCCUUCUGCCUAACUGCGAAUCUUCUUAUCCAUGACCAUGUGAUCAAUAAAGCUGAGUGGAGAUUUCUGCUGACCGGUGGCAUUGGACUGGAUAAUCCUUAUGCCAAUCCUUGCACAUGGCUUCCUCAAAAAUCCUGGGAUGAGAUCUGUCGAUUAGACGACUUGCCUGCCUUCAGAACCAUUCGCAAGGAAUUCAUGCACUUGAAGGAUGGAUGGAAAAAAGUAUAUGACAGUUUGGAGCCACACCACGAGGUUUUCCCGGAAGAGUGGGAAAAUAAGGCAAAUGAAUUUCAGAGGAUGCUUAUCAUCCGUUGCUUGAGACCAGACAAGAUUAUUCCAAUGUUGCAAGAAUAUAUCAUCAGCAAAUUGGGGCGUGCGUUCAUUGAGCCGCCCCCCUUUGACCUGUCCAAGGCGUUUGGGGACAGCCACUGCUGCGCGCCCCUGAUCUUCGUGCUGUCCCCUGGGGCGGACCCCAUGGCUGCUCUGCUGAAGUUUGCUGAUGACCAGGGGUAUGGGGGUGCAAAACUUAGCUCUUUAUCUCUGGGCCAAGGCCAAGGGCCCAUCGCGAUGAAGAUGGUAGAAAAAGCCAUCAAGGAGGGCACUUGGGUGGUCCUUCAGAACUGUCACCUUGCCACCUCUUGGAUGCCGACCCUGGAGAAGGUCUGCGAGGAGUUAAGCCCAGAAUCAACGCACCCUGAUUUCCGAAUCUGGCUGACAAGCUACCCAUCUCCAAAUUUCCCCGUGUCGGUGCUGCAGAACGGAGUCAAGAUGACCAACGAGGCGCCGAAAGGUUUACGAGCUAAUAUCAUCCGGUCGUACCUCAUGGACCCCAUCUCUGACCCCGAGUUCUUUGGCAGCUGCAAAAAGCCUGAGGAAUUCAAGAAAUUGCUCUACGGCCUCUGCUUCUUUCAUGCAUUGGUCCAAGAGAGGCGCAAGUUUGGCCCGCUGGGCUGGAACAUCCCUUACGAGUUCAAUGAGACCGACCUGCGCAUCAGCGUCCAGCAGCUGCACAUGUUCCUGAACCAGUACGAGGAACUGCCCUUCGACGCUCUGCGCUACAUGACCGGGGAGUGCAAUUACGGAGGCCGGGUGACCGACGACUGGGACCGGCGCACGCUGCGCACCAUCCUGAACAAGUUCUUCUGCCCCGAGUUGGUGGUGAAGCUAGACUACCAGUUUGACUCAAGCGGCAUCUACUUCGUGCCGCCUGCGGGCGACCACAAGAGCUACAUUGACUACACCAAGACCCUGCCGCUGACGCCCGCGCCGGAAGUCUUUGGGAUGAACGCCAACGCGGACAUCACGAAAGACCAGGCGGAGACGCAGCUGCUGUUCGACAACAUUCUUCUUACACAGUCUCGUUCUGCAGGUGCAGGUGCAAAGUCGUCAGAAGAAGUGGUAAACGAGGUGGCCAGCGACAUCCUGGGUAAACUUCCCAACAACUUUGACGUUGAGGCGGCGAUGAGGAGAUACCCGACGACGUACAACCAGAGCAUGAACACCGUCCUGGUCCAGGAGAUGGGACGGUUCAACAAGCUGCUCGGGACCAUCCGAGAGUCGUGCAUUAACAUUCAGAAAGCGAUCAAGGGGCUCGUGGUGAUGUCCACAGACCUUGAAGAAGUGGUGAGCAGCAUUCUCAACGUCAAAAUUCCCGGAAUGUGGAUGGGAAAAUCCUACCCAAGCCUCAAACCCCUGGGCAGCUACGUGAAUGACUUCCUUUCCAGACUAAAAUUCUUGCAGCAAUGGUACGAGUCUGGGCCGCCCCCGGUCUUCUGGCUGUCCGGCUUCUUCUUCACGCAAGCCUUCCUGACCGGUGCCCAGCAGAACUACGCCAGGAGGCACACGAUCCCCAUCGACCUCCUCGGGUUUGACUACGAAGUGAUGGAGGACAAAGAGUACAAGCAGGGGCCUGAGGACGGUGUUUACAUUCACGGACUGUUUCUGGACGGAGCUUCCUGGAACAGGAAGAUCAAGAAACUCGGAGAGUCCUAUCCUAAAAUUCUUUACGACACAGUGCCUGUGUCCCGGGGUUCUAGGGGCACUCACGACUCCCGCAGCACCCACUUGGGUGUCAGGGCAAACCCACCACAAAGAGCGCAGCCCCACCGUGGCACCCAGGAGACCCUGAGCAGGACGCCCACUCGAAACUGCGAAAGCUAUAACAGGACCUGGAGCUUAGCCCUGCUCCAGCUGCCUGGGACUGCGUACCUGGGCUCACAGAGGUCCCGUGGCUCGGAGCUCUGCCCAGAGCCGUGCUGGUCUCGGGGUCAGAAACCAGGUUGAUCAGUCGGGACACUUGCAGACAUGGAUCAGGAACAACCAUCUCUGAUGACGUUGUCGUGUCACUGAGGCAUAAGGACAUGGCUAGCUUUUUACACAAUUUGAGAUACAAUCCAGGCUGUGGUCUUCGGGCAGCAGUCCAGUUACGGGAAACCCACUGCAUACCAAGGUCCUUAGAACAUGGCUCUCAAGUUGAAGGUCACAAAGGCUGUCUUUGUUUUGUUUUCUUUUCUUUUACAGGAAGACUCUUAAGUAGCUUGCUGUGAGUAGAAGGUAUUUUUUAUAACUGAGUAGCGAUUCCUUUGAAUGAAGUCUGCUGGUGAAAUAAAAAUUCUCGUUAGAAAACUCUCGCAUUGAUGUAAAAUGAAACCUAUCCAUGAGUGCUUUGAGAGCAUGUUGGGUCCCACGUGGUAGAAACUGUUUGGGGGCCCCUCAUGGUAACCUGGACUCCAUAGGUGUGUGGGAGAAACAGAGAAACCUAUAUCCUUUGUGGCUCCUUCAUAAAAAUUCUGCUUUGACCCGAGAAGCCUAAAAGAAUGCUCUGACCAGUGGGGCCAGCACGUCCCGUCACCUGAAGGCUCGUGUACCCAAGACGACCACUGGAAAAACGAGUCUGGGUAAAUUCUGAAACAUGCUUAUGACCCCGGUUGCUUCUUCACCCUUGCGUUCAAGGACCAGCUUGCUUCGACUGGGGAGUUCAACAAUAGAGGGUAGUCAUAACAUUCUGGGAACUUGGCUAAUGACUCUGAAAGAACGCAGUAAAUACAAGGAUGAAAUUAUGCUUUAUUUGUCUUUUUUAAAUUGGAAAAUUGUGCUUUAUUUAGGCACCAAUGCUUGUACCACUGACAGAGAGAAACCUUCUUAUUAUAAGCAUUGACACACGGUAGUUGUACAGUCACUAGGCUUCCCUGCGAUACUUGCAAACAUCAUGCAUCGCUCACCCCAUCUCCCCUUUCCCUCGCCUCCCCUCCCCCAUCCCCUGCCUUCUCACAGGAGAACGUGAGAUGCUGUCUGGGUCUGGCUUACUUCCCCUCACAUGCCCACUUUCAGAUCUACCCAUUUGCCUGCAAAUUUCAUUCUUGUUUGCGGCUGCACAUGCUCCUCCGUGUAGAAUGCAAGCCCUGUCUUUAUCAUUCAUCCCUUGACAGGCACCUAGGCCGAUGCUGCUGUGCAUUAUGCUGAGAUAAACAUGAGGAUCCAAGACUCUGUGGUCUGCUGACUUGUCCUCUGGUUAUGUGCCGAGGAAUUGUACAGCUGGACCCUAAGGCAGUUCUCCUUUUAGCUUUCUGAGGAACCUGCAUACCAAUUUCAUAGUGGCUGUACAAAUUUGCAUUCCAACAGUGUAUAAAGGUUUCUUUCGCCUCGCCAGCAUUUAUUAUUUUCAUGUAUUCUUGAUGACAGCCACAUGAUGGGUGUGAUUUGCAUUUCCCCAAUGGCUAAUGAUGAUGAACAUCUUCUUGUGCAAUGAUUGGCUUUUGUAUUUCAUGGUUUGCAAAAUACCUUUUCGAUUCAUUUGCCUGUUGAGUGAUUGGAAUAGUUGUUCUUGGGUGUUUUUUGAAUUACACAUUCUGGUAUUAAUCCUCCGUCAGGGGUAGCUGACAUUUCUCUACUCUGCUGGCUGUCUCUCUGUUCUGUGGACGUUUCUGUCGCUGUGCAGAAUGUUUUUAAGUUGACGCAAUCCCAUUUGUCAGUUCUUGCUAUUAUUCCCUCAGCUACUGAGUCUUAUUCAGAAAUACCCCCAUGCUGAGACCCUGAAGUAGCCCCCUGUUUUCUUCCAGCCGUUUUGAAGUUUUGAGUCUCACAUUUAGGUCACUGGUCCAUUCUGAGUUGAUGUUUCAUAGGGUGAGAGAUGGGGGUCUAGUGUCAGCCUCCUAUGGUGGAUAUCAGGCUUCCCAGCAGCACGGUGCAGAGGCGCUCUUUUCUCCGGGUUUGCUUUCGGGACCCUGGUGGAGAAUCGUGGCUGGCUGUGCCGUGUUCAUUUCCAGGCUUUGCCGGCUGUUGUGAGCGUGCUCUGUAGCGUGUUUUGCGUCAGGUUUCACGCUGUCUCCGGCUUUGCUCUUUUUGCUCGGGAUUGCUUUGUCUGUUCAGAGUUGCUUCUGCUUCUGCAGAAUUUUAGAAAUGUUUCCUCUACUCUUGGGAAGAACAGUACUGAUAUUUUGAUGCUGGUUGCACUGAAUCUGUAGAUCACUUUUAGUAGUACAGCCAUUUGAAUAUUUAUUCUUUUAAUCCAUGAUCUUGGUGAGGGUCUUUCCAACUUUAAGUGUCUUCUUCAAUUUCUUUUUUUAGCGUUUUGUAACUUUUGUUGGAGAGGGCUUUCACUUCCUUAAGUUUGUUCCUAGAUAUUUUACAUUAUUUCGAUGGCUAUUGUGAAUGAAAUUGCUUUCUUGGUUUCUUUUUCAAAAAAAUCCGUUAUUGGUAUACAGAAAAGAUACUGACUUUUUAUGGUGAUUUUAUAUUCUGCUGCUUGAGCGGACGUGUUCAUAAAUUCUAGCAGUCAGGGCCCGCGCUUCUGUUCUCCGGGUGUGUACGCCCUCAGCUCUGCCUGGUACUUUCUCUGCCUUUUACUUUCUCUGCCCUGUAAAUUCUUUUCCUGACGGGAACUGGCGAACCUGUUCCAGGGCUGCAUGAGUCGAGGUCUCCAUCUCCUCCUCGGGACCCUCCUCAGACCCCGUCCAGUGAUACCUUUUGCUGAGCCACCACGAGGUAAGCUGCGGCGCCAGCUUUAACUCUUUGCCCGCCGAUCGCACGGCCUCCUCUCUCCCUGCAACCCUCUGCCUCUUCAGUGUCCCUUGUCAGCACUCACAGGCUCCUGAAGUCAAGUACGAGGGCGGCUCUCGGACAGCCUUGCUCUACGAUCUCUCUUCCUGCAAAGAAAGCGCUCUCAUUUCCUUGAUUUGUGAGUCAAACACUGACUGAUUUUCAGUCCUUUUCCUGUGGUCUGCAGAAAUGCGGUCCCCCAGAGAACAACGCCUGCCCUGCACAUUCUACCCGAGGAGGUGCUGUGGGGAGGGGAGGCGGUUUGCACCUGGGUCCCUGGGUCCCUGGGCCACCAUCCAUGGCAGGACCCAAGGCCACCCGGUGCCCUCUCCCACCCGACUGGCAGCACCACCCACACCCGGUGGAUUCGUGCUGAGCCCAGGGCCAGGCCCCGCCUCAGCCGGUGAUUUCCUCUCCAAGAUGCUUUCCCCGGCCUCCUUCUGCCCUAGCUUGGCGGGCCGCGCACCUCCCCUCUGGCCAGCCCCUUCCUUCUUCCACAUUUCGUUCUGUCUCUUAGAACCACCCUAGCCUCGAGUUUCACUCCUGGUGGAGGCCAGGAUGCACUUGCGUCGCUGCUGUGGACAAACCAGAAGCCCCAGGUCCCUGCCGUGUCUGAGCGAUCAGCCUGCGCAGGAAGUCUCCGAGCUCCGCGUCCCCGAUGAGCUUGCAUGCUUUUGAGGGCACCGGGAACGCCGGGGAAGCCGACGGCUCCUGCACCAAAGAGCAGAGCUGUGGCUUCUAGGAAUGGCGCGAGGAAACGGAAGCCAAUGUGGCUGAAGCCCUGCAAGAGGGCAGACAUCCCCAAGCGGCCGAGCUAUGUCGCACCACUGUACAAGACCAGCGAGCGGAGAGG